rnacentral:rRNA from 1 species
AUAUCAAUAAGCGGAGGAAAAGAAACCAACAGGGAUUGCCUCAGUAACGGCGAGUGAAGCGGCAACAGCUCAAAUUUGAAAUCUGGCUCCUUCGGGGUCCGAGUUGUAAUUUGUAGAGGAUGUUUCGGGUACCGCCCCGGUCUAAAUUUCUUGGAACAGAAUGUCAAAGAGGGUGAGAAUCCCGUCUUGGACCGGCGGUAGGGCCCAUGUGAAACUCCUUCGACGAGUCGAGUUGUUUGGGAAUGCAGCUCAAAAUGGGUGGUAAAUUUCAUCUAAAGCUAAAUAUUGGCCAGAGACCGAUAGCGCACAAGUAGAGUGAUCGAAAGAUGAAAAGCACUUUGAAAAGAGAGUUAAACAGUAUGUGAAAUUGUUGAAAGGGAAGCGCUGGCAACCAGACUUGCGCGCGGCGGUUCCCCCUUCCUUUUGGUUGGGUUAUUCCGCCGUGUCCAGGCCAACAUCGGUUCUGGGGGUCGGUCAAAGGCUCUGGGAAUGUAUCUACCCUUCGGGCGUAGACUUAUAGCCCAGGGUGUCAUGCGACCUCCCGGGACCGAGGAACGCGCUUCGGCUCGGAUGUUGGCGUAAUGGUUGUCAGCGACCCGUCUUGAAACACGGACCAAGGAGUCUAACAUCUAUGCGAGUGUUUGGGUGUCAAACCCGGAACGCGAAAUGAAAGUGAACGGAGGUAGGAAGCUUAGGCUGCACUAUCGACCGAUCCUGAUGUCUUCGGAUGGAUUUGAGUAAGAGCAUAGCUGUUGGGACCCGAAAGAUGGUGAACUAUGCCUGAAUAGGGUGAAGCCAGAGGAAACUCUGGUGGAGGCUCGCAGCGGUUCUGACGUGCAAAUCGAUCGUCAAAUUUAGGUAUAGGGGCGAAAGACUAAUCGAACCAUCUGGUAGCUGGUUCCUGCCGAAGUUUCCCUCAGGAUAGCAGUAACGUUUUCAGUUUUAUGAGGUAAAGCGAAUGAUUAGAGGCCUUGGGGUUGAAACAACCUUAACCUAUUCUCAAACUUUAAAUAUGUAAGAAGUCCUUGUUGCUUAAUUGAACGUGGACAUUUGAAUGUAUCGUUACUAGUGGGCCAUUUUUGGUAAGCAGAACUGGCGAUGCGGGAUGAACCGAACGUGAGGUUAAGGUGCCGGAAUGUACGCUCAUCAGACACCACAAAAGGUGUCAAUGCAUCCAGACAGCCGGACGGUGGCCAUGGAAGUCGGAAUCCGCUUAGGAGUGUGUAACAACUCACCGGCCGAAUGCAUUGGCCCUGAAAAUGGAUGGCGCUUAAGCGUGCUACCUAUACCUCGCCGUCAGGGUUGACAUGAUGCCCUGACGAGUAGGCAGGCGUGGAGGUCCGUGACGAAGC